rnacentral:rRNA from 1 species
AUUGAACGCUGGCGGCAUGCCUUACACAUGCAAGUCGAACGGUAACGGGCCUUCGGGUGCCGACGAGUGGCGAACGGGUGAGUAAUGCAUCGGAACGUACCUUUCAGUGGGGGAUAACGUAGCGAAAGUUACGCUAAUACCGCAUAUUCUGUGAGCAGGAAAGCAGGGGAUCGCAAGACCUUGCGCUGAUUGAGCGGGCGAUGUCAGAUUAGCUAGUUGGUGAGGUAAAGGCUCACCAAGGCGACGAUCUGUAGCGGGUCUGAGAGGAUGAUCGCCCACACUGGGACUGAGACACGGCCCAGCCUCCUACGGGGGGCAGCAGUGGGGAAUUUUGGACAAUGGGGGCAACCCUGAUCCAGCCAUGCCGCGUGAGUGAAGAAGGCCUUCGGGUUGUAAAGCUCUUUCGGCCGGGAAGAAAUCGCACAGGCUAAUACCUUGUGUGGAUGACGGUACCGGAAUAAGAAGCACCGGCUAACUACGUGCCAGCCGCCGCAGUAAUAC